rnacentral:rRNA from 1 species
GACGAACGCUGGCGGCGUGCUUAACACAUGCAAGUCGAACGGAAAGUCCCUGCUUUUGUGGGGUGCUCGAGUGGCGAACGGGUGAGUAACACGUGAGUAACCUGCCCUUGACUUUGGGAUAACUUCAGGAAACUGGGGCUAAUACCGGAUAGGAGCUCCUGCUGCAUGGUGGGGGUUGGAAAGUUUCGGCGGUUGGGGAUGGACUCGCGGCUUAUCAGCUUGUUGGUGGGGUAGUGGCUUACCAAGGCUUUGACGGGUAGCCGGCCUGAGAGGGUGACCGGCCACAUUGGGACUGAGAUACGGCCCAGACGCCUACGGGAGGCAGCAGUGGGGAAUAUUGCACAAUGGGCGGAAGCCUGAUGCAGCAACGCCGCGUGCGGGAUGACGGCCUUCGGGUUGUAAACCGCUUUCGCCUGUGACGAAGAGUGAGUGACGGUAAUGGGUAAAGAAGCACCGGCUAACUACGUG